GUGGGGAAUCUUGCGCAAUGGGCGAAAGCCUGACGCAGCCAUGCCGCGUGAAUGAUGAAGGUCUUAGGAUUGUAAAAUUCUUUCACCGGGGACGAUAAUGACGGUACCCGGAGAAGAAGCCCCGGCUAACUUCGUGCCAGCAGCCGCGGUAAUACGAAGGGGGCUAGCGUUGCUCGGAAUUACUGGGCGUAAAGGGCGCGUAGGCGGACAGUUUAGUCAGAGGUGAAAGCCCAGGGCUGAACCUUGGAAUUGCCUUUGAUACUGGCUGUCUUGAGUACGGGAGAGGUGAGUGGAACUCCGAGUGUAGAGGUGAAAUUCGUAGAUAUUCGGAAGAACACCAGUGGCGAAGGCGACUCACUGGCCCGUUACUGACGCUGAGGCGCGAAAGCGUGGGGAGCAAACAGGAUUAGAUACCCUAGUAGUCC
rnacentral:rRNA from 1 species